rnacentral:rRNA from 1 species
GACGAACGCUGGCGGCGUGCUUAACACAUGCGAGUCGAACGAUGAAGAAGAGAAACGCGAACUUCGGUUCAACUUUCACUUCGGAUUAGUGGCAGACGGGUGAGUAACGCGUGAGCAACCUACCUCUUACAAAGGGAUAGCCUCGGGAAACCGUGAUUAAUACCAUAUGACACAUUCAUAAGGCAUCUUAAGAAUGUUAAAGCUACGGCGGUAAGAGAUGGGCUCGCGUCCCAUUAGCUAGUUGGUGAGGUAACGGCCCACCAAGGCGACGAUGGGUAACCGGCCUGAGAGGGUGAACGGUCACAUUGGAACUGAGACACGGUCCAAACUCCUACGGGAGGCAGCAGUGGGGAAUAUUGCACAAUGGAGGGAACUCUGAUGCAGCGACGCCGCGUGAGCGAUGAAGGAAUUCGUUUCGUAAAGCUCUGUUCUAUGGGAAGAAAAGGACUGUACCAUAGGAGAAAGCCCCGGCUAAAUACGUG